UCUCGCAACCUUCGGAAUGCUCUUGGAUUGCCCAAUCCUUGAGCAUUCCAGCAAAGUAUUUUCAUGUUUUAUGAAAAGGCUGAGUUUCAGCCUCUGCCAAUAUGUAAGGAAGGUUUUGGCCUUCUUGAUGAUUAUCAUGGUUGAAUUUUUGUUAUUUUCUAUUUGAAAAAACAUCGUGAGGAUCUAAUCUUUUCUUCAUUUUUGCUUGAAAGAGAGAUUGGGAAAUAUUUAUUACUUCUUCCUUGGUCUUCCUCCUCCAACUUUUUAAUUUUUUUUUUCUGCGGAUGGUGGAGUAAUUGCUUCAGCAAAAGUGGGAUUUGGGAGACUAUUUCUCUAUUUAGAAGUAGAGGAAGUAUUUAAAUCAAAUGGAGAUCCUUCUUCACUACAUGUUUUUUAUUCAUUCUAUUGCAAAGAUGUUGAAGAAUUAAUGGGAAUAGAGGAGUCGAACUGAAUUCUGGAAAGACCUCUGUGUGUGUUUCCUCACUCUUUCCAGACAUCGGAGGUGGGGGCUUUCUCUUGAAUUGAGUUUUGAUUGAAUGGCCAAUGCGACCACACAUGAAGCACAAAUCUGUGAGUCUUUCAUAACGAACGUCGAACCAUCUUCCUUCCGGGUAAGAGGUUGAUUUAAUUUUAAUCCCACGUCUUAGAAGCUUUGACAUAUCAAUUGCUACACGAAUUCUCAUGUUCUUCCCCCAAUAAAAAAUUAUCUUAAUCUGCAUCAACCUCGAUAAAUCUUCCUAACAUGUUUCCGAUUUUUUCAGCCAUGUAGUUGUUUUGAUAUCCAAAAGGCACAACAAGAAUUUUCACCUUUCCCCGCGUAAAAAAACAUCGGACAAAGUACUAAAAACAUCGGGAUAGGUUAUGCCAACAUAUUUUCUUGUGUUGGCAUAAUCGUCGUCAUAUCCAUGUCGGGAGAAAUGCCUCCCGACAAAAACUAUUUUCGUCGGCAUAAAUACCAUUUUUGGCAACACAAUUAUUCCCGUCCGCAUAUGUGUUUUCCCGAUACAAUUUGCGUUGGCGAAAACAUAUUUUAAACAACAAAAAUUUUCAAUUGAAUAGACAGAUUUCUGCCAACUUUUAUUUGCAUUGACAUAAGUUGUUUAUAAUUUUAUAAUUUUUUGUAACAAACAAAUUACCAAAUUUUUAUUUCUUGAAUACCUAAUUAUGCACAAACAAAAAUUAAUCUUCAUACAAAUCAAUUGGGGACAAAUACAAAAAAAGUAAGCUUAUAUACUUAAAAAUAAGACUAAUAUUCAAUACACAAGCUGUAAAAUUCAAAAAAAAAAAAAAAAAAAAAAAAAAAAACUGUGUAUGCAAUUAAAUUUGAACUUUUCUAGUUUCUUACAAAUCUCCUACACAAAAAAGUUUAAUCUUCCCCAAGCUAAAAUACCCUAAACCCAAAUAAGUGAGACUAAACCAAACUAAGUAAUCAUCUCAAAAUCUUCUCGCAAUCUCCAAAAAAAUGAUCUUUAAGAAUUUACACGAACGA